CUUUAUUAAUUUUUUAUAUAUAAUUUAUAUUAAAUAUAAAAAUAUAUUUUUUAAAUAAAAAGACGAUAAGACCCUAUUAAAUUUUACUUAUAGUUUAACUGGGGAAGUUUUAAAAAUAAAAUUUUUUAUAAAAAUAAAAAUAAAUCUAAUAAAAUUAAAAUUAAAUUAAAUUACUAUAGGGAUAACAGCAUUAUAUUUUUUAAAAGUUCAUAUUAAAAAAAAUGAUUGUGACCUCGAUGUUGAAUUAUAUUUUCUUUAUUAAUGCAAUAAUUAUAAAAGUAGAUCUGUUCGAUCUUUAAAAUAUUACAUGAUUUGAGUUCAAACCGGUGUAAACCAGGUUGGUUUCUAUCUUUUUAUAAAUUCAUAUAUAUAUAUAUAUAUAUAUAUAUAUAAAUUUUUC
rnacentral:misc_RNA from 1 species